rnacentral:rRNA from 1 species
CGGGUGAGUAACACGUGGAUAACCUACCUAUAAGACUGGGAUAACUUCGGGAAACCGGAGCUAAUACCGGAUAAUAUUUUGAACCGCAUGGUUCAAAAGUGAAAGACGGUCUUGCUGUCACUUAUAGAUGGAUCCGCGCUGCAUUAGCUAGUUGGUAAGGUAACGGCUUACCAAGGCAACGAUGCAUAGCCGACCUGAGAUGGUGAUCGGCCACACUGGAACUGAGACACGGUCCAG